rnacentral:rRNA from 1 species
UACGUAGGGGGCAAGCGUUAUCCGGAAUUACUGGGUGUAAAGGGUGCGUAGGCGGCUUGGUAAGUCGGGAGUGAAAUUUAGGGGCUCAACCCCUAGGGUGCUCUCGAAACUACUGAGCUAGAGUAUAGGAGAGGAAAGUGGAAUUCCACGUGUAGCGGUGAAAUGCGUAGAGAUGUGGAGGAACACCAGUAGCGAAGGCGACUUUCUGGACUAUUACUGACGCUGAGGCACGAAAGCGUGGGGAGCAAACAGG